rnacentral:tRNA from 1 species
GGCGCAUUAGUAAAAACAUUACAUGGCCUUGUCAAGGCCAAAUCACAGGUGAAAUCCCCGUAUGCUCCA